GACAGCAGCAGCCACGGGAAUACGUAGGGUGCAAGCGUUAAUCGGAAUUACUGGGCGUAAAGCGUGCGCAGGCGGUGUUGUAAGACUGAUGUGAAAUCCCCGGGCUCAACCUGGGAACUGCAUUGGUGACUGCAACGCUGGAGUGCGGCAGAGGGGGAUGGAAUUCCGCGUGUAGCAGUGAAAUGCGUAGAUAUGCGGAGGAACACCGAUGGCGAAGGCAAUCCCCUGGGCCUGCACUGACGCUCAUGCACGAAAGCGUGGGGAGCAAACAGGAUUAGAUACCCGCGUAGUCCCUGUCUCUUAUAC
rnacentral:rRNA from 1 species